rnacentral:lncRNA from 1 species
AGCUGAGCUGUUUUAGAGAAAGUGUUUGGCAAAAUAGCUUCACCAACUACUCCAUGCAUAGUUGAGAGAGAGAAAUGAGGGAGAAGCUGCAAUAAGCUACUUUUUUCUAGCUUCAUCUAACUUAUGUCUUUGUGAGAGGAGGGGAAAAACAGCUUCACUCAUGAAGCUGUUUUGGAAAUAAGUGUUUGGCAAAAAAAAA